AUUGAACGCUGGCGGCAUGCCUUACACAUGCAAGUCGAACGGUAACAGGGCUUCGGAUGCUGACGAGGGGCGAACGGGUGAGUAAUACAGCGGGACGUGCCCGAGAGGGGGGGAUAACGAGGCGAAAGCUUUGAUAAUACCGCAUACGAUCUCAGGAUGAAAGCAGGGGACCGCAAGGGCUUGCGCCUACGGAGCGGAGGAUGGCGGAGUAGGUAGUUGGUGGGAUAAAAGCUUACCAAGCCGACGAUCUGUAGCUGGUCUGAGAGGACGACCAGCCACGCUGGGACUGAUACACGGCCCAGACUCCUACGGGAGGCAGCAGUGGGGAAUUUUGGACAAUGGGCGCAAGCCUGAUCCAGCCAUGCCGCGUGCAGGAUGAAGGCCUUCGGGUUGUAAACUGCUUUUGUACGGAACGAAAAGACUCUGGUUAAUACCUGGGGUCCAUGACGGUACCGUAAGAAUAAGCACCGGCUAACUACGUGCCAGCCGCCGCCGUAACAC
rnacentral:rRNA from 1 species